UACGUAGGGGGCAAGCGUUGUUCGGAAUUACUGGGCGUAGAGGGCGCGUAGGCGGCACGGCAAGUCAGGAGUGAAAGCCCUGGGCUCAACCCGGGAACUGCUUUUGAAACUGCCGAGCUAGAGUGCGGAAGGGGCAACUGGAAUUCCCAGUGUAGCGGUGAAAUGCGUAGAUAUCGGGAGGAACAUCUGUGGCGAAGGCGACACCCUGGGCCAGCACUGACACUGAGGCACGAAAGCGUGGGGAGCAAACAGG
rnacentral:rRNA from 1 species